rnacentral:rRNA from 1 species
AUUGAACGCUGGCGGCAGGCCUAACACAUGCAAGUCGAGCGGGGUCUUCGGACCUAGCGGCGGACGGGUGAGUAAUGCGUAGGAAGCUGCCCGAUAGAGGGGGAUACCAGUUGGAAACGACUGUUAAUACCGCAUAAUGUCUACGGACCAAAGUGUGGGACCUUCGGGCCACAUGCUAUCGGAUGCGCCUACGUGGGAUUAGCUAGUUGGUGAGGUAAUGGCUCACCAAGGCGACGAUCUCUAGCUGGUUUGAGAGGAUCAUCAGCCACACUGGAACUGAGAAACGGUCCAGACUCCUACGGGAGGCAGCAGUGGGGAAUAUUGGACAAUGGGCGCAAGCCUGAUCCAGCCAUGCCGCGUGUGUGAAGAAGGCCUUCGGGUUGUAAAGCACUUUCAGCGAGGAGGAAGGGUUGGUAGUUAAUAGCUGCCAAUUUUGACGUUACUCGCAGAAGAAGCACCGGCUAACUCUGUGCCAGCCGCCGCAGUAACAC